rnacentral:rRNA from 1 species
GACGAACGCUGGCGGCGUGCUUAACACAUGCAAGUCGAACGGAAAGGCCCUGCUUGCCGGGUACUCGAGUGGCGAACGGGUGAGUAACACGUGGGUGAUCUGCCCUGCACUUCGGGAUAAGCCUGGGAAACUGGGUCUAAUACCGGAUAGGAGCCAUUUUUAGUGUGAUGGUUGGAAAGUUUUUUCGGUGUAGGAUGAGCUCGCGGCCUAUCAGCUUGUUGGUGGGGUAAUGGCCUACCAAGGCGGCGACGGGUAGCCGGCCUGAGAGGGUGGACGGCCACAUUGGGACUGAGAUACGGCCCAGACUCCUACGGGAGGCAGCAGUGGGGAAUAUUGCACAAGGGGCGCAAGCCGGAUGCAGCGACGCCGCGUGGGGGAUGACGGCCUUCGGGUUGUAAACUCCUUGCGCUAGGGACGAAGCUUUUUGUGACGGUACCUAGAUAAGAAGCACCGGCUAACUACGUG